AUUCAACAAAAUUGGGCACCAAUUCGGUGCCACUUGCAGCACCAAUUGGUGCCCCUUAUCCUUUGCUUGGAUGCUUACCUAUAAAUAGGCAAUACAUCCAAGCUAUUUUGCACAACAUAAAAGAGAAACAAGAGAGGAAAA